rnacentral:rRNA from 1 species
AUUGAACGCUGGCGGCAGGCCUAACACAUGCAAGUCGAACGAGCGGCGGACGGGUGAGUAAUGUAUGGGGACUGCCCGAUAGAGGGGGAUAACUACUGGAAACGGUGGCUAAUACCGCAUACUAUCGGAUAACCCAUAUGGGAUUAGCUAGUAGGUGGGGUAAAGGCUCACCAAGGCGACGAUCUCUAGCUGGUCUGAGAGGAUGAUCAGCAACACUGGGACUGAGAAACGCCCCAUACGCCUACGGGGGCAGCAGUGGGGAAUAUUGCACAAGGGGCGCAAGCCGAAGGCAGCAAGGCCGCGUGUAUGAAGAGGGCUUUAGGGUUGUAAAGUACUUUCAGCGGGGAGGCGUUACCGCAGAAGAAGCACCGGCUAACUCCGUGCCAGCAGCCGCGGUAAUUC